AUUGAACGCUGGCGGCAUGCUUUACACAUGCAAGUCGAACGGCAGCGCGGGCUUCGGCCUGGCGGCGAGUGGCGAACGGGUGAGUAAUGCAUCGGAACGUGCCCAGUAGUGGGGGAUAGCCCGGCGAAAGCCGGAUUAAUACCGCAUACGACCUGAGGGUGAAAGCGGGGGACCGAAAGGCCUCGCGCUAUUGGAGCGGCCGAUGUCGGAUUAGCUAGUUGGUGGGGUAAAGGCUUACCAAGGCGACGAUCCGUAGCUGGUCUGAGAGGAUGACCAGCCACACUGGGACUGAGACACGGCCCAGACUCCUACGGGAGGCAGCAGUGGGGAAUUUUGGACAAUGGGGGCAACCCUGAUCCAGCCAUGCCGCGUGCGGGAAGAAGGCCUUCGGGUUGUAAACCGCUUUUGUUCGGGAAGAAAUCCUCUGGGCUAAUACCCCGGGGGGAUGACGGUACCGGAAGAAUAAGCACCGGCUAACUACG
rnacentral:rRNA from 1 species